UUUUAUGAGAGUUUGAUCCUGGCUCAGGACGAACGCUGGCGGCGUGCCUAAUACAUGCAAGUCGAACGCUUCUUUUUCCACCGGAGCUUGCUCCACCGGAAAAAGAGGAGUGGCGAACGGGUGAGUAACACGUGGGUAACCUGCCCAUCAGAAGGGGAUAACACUUGGAAACAGGUGCUAAUACCGUAUAACAAUCAAAACCGCAUGGUUUUGAUUUGAAAGGCGCUUUCGGGUGUCGCUGAUGGAUGGACCCGCGGUGCAUUAGCUAGUUGGUGAGGUAACGGCUCACCAAGGCCACGAUGCAUAGCCGACCUGAGAGGGUGAUCGGCCACAUUGGGACUGAGACACGGCCCAAACUCCUACGGGAGGCAGCAGUAGGGAAUCUUCGGCAAUGGACGAAAGUCUGACCGAGCAACGCCGCGUGAGUGAAGAAGGUUUUCGGAUCGUAAAACUCUGUUGUU
rnacentral:rRNA from 1 species